GAUGAACGCUGGCGGCGUGCCUAAUACAUGCAAGUCGAGCGAACGGACGAGGAGCUUGCUUCUCUGAUGUUAGCGGCGGACGGGUGAGUAACACGUGGAUACCCUACCUAUAAGACUGGGAUAACUUCGGGAAACGGGAGAUAAUACCGGAGAAUCUUUUGCACCGCAUGGUUCGUAAGUGAGUGACGGUCUUGCUGUCACUUAUCGAUGGAUCCGGGCUGCUUUAGCUAGUUGGUAAGGUAACGGCUUUCCAAGGCAACGAUGCAUAGCCGACCUGAGGGGGGGGUCGGCCACACUAGAACGUAGACACGCUCCAGACUCCUACGAGAGGCAGCAGAAGGGAAUCUUCCGCAAUGGGCGAAAGCCUGACGGAGCAACGCCGCGUGAGUGAUGAAGGUCUUCGGAGCGGAAUACCCUGUUAUGAGGGAAGAACAGCUGUGUAAGUAACUGUGCACAGCUUGACGGUACCUAAUCAAAAAGCCACGGCUAACUACGUG
rnacentral:rRNA from 1 species